rnacentral:rRNA from 1 species
GGAUUGGGAGGGUUCUACGGAACCCGUUUGGUGAAUCUAGUGCCGAGAAAAGCCUUCUAUGUGUUGAAUUUCUAGUACCCGUACCCCAAACCGACACAGGUGGGUGGGUAGAGCAUACCUAGGGGCGCGUGAUAACUCUCUCUAAGGAACUCGGCAAAAUGGCCCUGUAACUUCGGGAUAAGGGGUGCCUGCGUGAGCAGGCCGCAGUGAAAUGGCUCUGGCGACUGUUUACCAAAAACACAGGUCUCUGCUAAGUCGUAAGACGAUGUAUAGGGGCUGACUCCUGCCCAGUGCCGGAAGGUUAAGGAAGUUGGUUAGCGCAAGCGAAGCUGGCGACCGAAGCCCCGGUGAACGGCGGCCGUAACAAUAACGGUCCUAAGGUAGCGAAAUUCCUUGUCGGGUAAGUUCCGACCCGCACGAAAGGAGUAACGAUCAGAGCGCUGUCUCGGAGAGAGACACGGCGAAAUAGGAUUGUCCGUGAAGAUACGGACUACCUGCACCCGGACAGAAAGACCCUAUGAAGCUUUACUGUAACUUGGAAUUGUGUUCGGACUUUGUCUGCGCAGAAUAGGUGGGAGGCUAUGAAACGUUCCUCGCGGGGAACUGGAGCCAUCGUUGAGAUACCACUCUGGCAGAGUCUGGAUUCUAACCUACGGGGACAGUUCCAGGUGGGCAGUUUGACUGGGGCGGUCGCCUCCUAAAAUGUAACGGAGGCGCGCAAAGGUUCCCUCAGGCUGGUUGGAAAUCAGCCAUAGAGUGUAAAAGCAUAAGGGAGCUUGACUGUGAGACCUACAAGUCGAGCAGGGACGAAAGUCGGCUUUAGUGAUCCGACGGCACUGAGUGGAAGGGCCGUCGCUCAACGGAUAAAAGUUACUCUAAGGAUAACAGGCUGAUCUCCCCCAAGAGUUCACAUCGACGGGGAGGUUUGGCACCUCGAUGUCGGCUCGUCGCAACCUGGGGCGGUAGUACGUCCCAAGGGUUGGGCUGUUCGCCCAUUAAAGCGGCACGUGAGCUGGGUUCAGAACGUCGUGAGACAGUUCGGUCCAUAUCCGGUGUAGGCGUAGGAGCAUUGAAAGGAUCUCUCCUUAGUACGAGAGGACCGGGAGGGACGUACCGCUGGUGUACCUGUUAUCGUGCCAACGGUAAACGCAGGGUAGCCAUGUACGGAGUGGAUAACCGCUGAAAGCAUCUAAGUGGGAAGCCCACCUUAAGAUGAGUGCUCCCUUGAGGCCACGGGAAGACGACCCGUUUGAUAGGCGCUAGGUGGAAGUGCAGUAAUGCAUGCAGCCGAGGCGUACUAAUAGGCCGAUGGCUUGUCC